UACGUAGGGUGCAAGCGUUGUCCGGAAUUACUGGGCGUAAAGCGCGCGCAGGCGGCUAUCCAAGUCAGUGGUGAAAGCCCGGAGCUCAACUCCGGAACUGCCAUUGAAACUGUUUAGCUUGAGGACGAGAGAGGUGAGUGGAAUUCCCAGUGUAGAGGUGAAAUUCGUAGAUACUGGGAAGAACACCGGUGGCGAAGGCGGCUCACUGGCUCGUAUCUGACGCUCAGGCGCGACAGCGUGGGGAUCAAACAGG
rnacentral:rRNA from 1 species